CAGCAGCCGCGGUAAUACGAAGGGUGCAAGCGUUAAUCGGAAUUACUGGGCGUAAGGCGUGCGUAGGCGGUGAGUUAAGUCUGCUGUGAAAUCCCCGGGCUCAACCUGGGAAUGGCAGUGGAUACUGGCUCGCUAGAGUGUGUCAGAGGAUGGUGGAAUUCCCGGUGUAGCGGUGAAAUGCGUAGAGAUCGGGAGGAACAUCAGUGGCGAAGGCGGCCAUCUGGGACAACACUGACGCUGAGGCACGAAAGCGUGGGGAGCAAACAGGAUUAGAUACCCCAGUAGUCCCUGUCUCUUAUAC
rnacentral:rRNA from 1 species